CGAAUGCACACAACCUUUCAGCCAAGUACUGAGAAAACUACUGAGAAACAGUGUUGCCGCUGCAGAUAUACAAACAAAUAGCAGCAUUUAUCCUGCUGUUCCUUCUCUUUAAGCUUAUCGACUGUACUGAUGGAAACUCGUGAAGAAAAGGUGAUUGAACCCCCUGAGAAAAAGGAAAACAGCCUUGUUAAAAGUGGACACACAUGAGACACCACUGUCAUGAGACUGAAUGAAGGUGAUUGAACCCCCUGAAAAAAAAGGAAAACAACCUUGUUAAAAGUGGACACACAUGAGACACCACUGAAACUGAAUGAAGAACGUUUUACAGUGUUGCCCUCCAAAAUACCUUGAGGAUGUACUGCUCCCUACAAGCCUGCACAGAAUGGAAGAUCAGAAGACUGGGGAUUACUGAUUAUCCCUCGAACAAAAAGGGGACAGAGUCUGUAGCAGAGCUGUUUCAUGCAGAGCAGCACUGUUAUGAAAUGGCCUACUGACCUAUGUAAGGAUUUAAGGUUUCCAUUUAUCUAAUAAUGUCUUUAAACAUACUGUGUUUGCCCUACAGUAUAUAAGACUGUGAUUCUCACUGACCUUUAAACACUUUCUGUCACAACAUUAAAUUCUGUUAUUUAAAUAUGCUGUGGAAACUACAGCGUUUACAUUUUUGCCAUGCUUCUAUUACUUUACUUUGUAAGUACGGUUUCUGUUUGUCCUAGAAGCAUCAGAAAAUACUAAUACUAGAAUACAUUCCCCAGUAAAAUAUUGUGCAACAUAUGGAAUAUCUCAGCAUAUACAGUGGCAUACAAAAGUUUGGGGACCUUCAGGAAGAUUAAGUAGACUAGAGAGGUCUACAUUG